UGCAGUCGACGGCAGCACGGACUUCGGUCUGGUGGCGAGUGGCGAACGGGUGAGUAAUAUAUCGGAACGUAUCCAUAAUGGGGGAUAACUAAUCGAAAGGUUGGCUAAUACCGCAUACGCCCUACGGGGGAAAGCUAGGGAUCUUCGGACCUGGCGUUAAUGGAGCGGCCGAUAUCUGAUUAGCUAGUUGGUGAGGUAAGAGCUCACCAAGGCGACGAUCAGUAGCUGGUCUGAGAGGACGACCAGCCACACUGGAACUGAGACACGGUCCAGACUCCUACGGGAGGCAGCAGUGGGGAAUUUUGGACAAUGGGCGAAAGCCUGAUCCAGCCAUUCCGCGUGAGUGAAGAAGGCCUUCGGGUUGUAAAGCUCUUUCGCAAGGGAAGAAAACUUAGUCUCUAACAUAGACUGAGGUUGACGGUACCUUGAUAAGAAGCACCGGCUAACUACGUGCCAGCAGCCGCGGUAAUACGUAGGGUGCGAGCGUUAAUCGGAAUUACUGGGCGUAAAGCGUGCGCAGGCGGUUUUGUAAGUCAGAUGUGAAAUCCCCGAGCUCAACUUGGGAACUGCGUUUGAAACUACAAGACUAGAAUAUGUCAGAGGGGGGUAGAAUUCCACGUGUAGCAGUGAAAUGCGUAGAGAUGUGGAGGAAUACCAAUGGCGAAGGCAGCCCCCUGGGAUAAUAUUGACGCUCAUGCACGAAAGCGUGGGGAGCAAACAGGAUUAGAUACCCUGGUAGUCCACGCCCUAAACGAUGUCUACUANUUGUUGGUGGAGUAAAAUCCAUGAGUAACGCAGCUNACGCGUGAAGUANACCGCCUGGGGAGUACGGUCGCAAGAUUAAAACUCAAAUGAAUUGANNGGGCCCGCACAAGCGGUGNAUUAUGUGGNUUAAUUCGAUGCAACGCGAAAACCUUACCUGGNNUUGACAU
rnacentral:rRNA from 1 species